AAACCAUCGAUUUCAAUAGGUCGUUGAAUACAGGGUUUUGAAAGAAUAAAACCUUCAUCAACAGGUUGUUUGGAAGUAGAAGGAAUAUCAGCGGAAUUAAUUUUUGCACUAAGCUGGGUUACCAGAACAAUAAGUUCAUCGAGUUUGGUAUCCAGAGAGGAAAUAUGUUCACCGAGAACUUUAACAUAAAGACUUAAAUAAUUAUUUUGAGAUAUAAGGUUAUUUAUUUCAGAGACAGUAAUUUUUCCGACAUCGUCAUGAAUAAAUUUUUGAAAGGCUGAAAAAGUCAUGCCUGUGUUAUUUGGGAGAAU
rnacentral:lncRNA from 1 species